UACGUAGGGGGCUAGCGUUGUUCGGAAUCACUGGGCGUAAAGCGCACGUAGGCGGAUUUUUAAGUCAGGGGUGAAAGCCUGGAGCUCAACUCCAGAACUGCCUUUGAUACUGGAAGUCUAGAGUUCGGAAGAGGUUGGUGGAACUGCGAGUGUAGAGGUGAAAUUCGUAGAUAUUCGCAAGAACACCAGUGGCGAAGGCGGCCAACUGGUCCGAUACUGACGCUGAGGUGCGAAAGCGUGGGGAGCAAACAGG
rnacentral:rRNA from 1 species